AUUGAACGCUGGCGGCAUGCUUUACACAUGCAAGUCGAACGGUAACAGGCCGCAAGGUGCUGACGAGUGGCGAACGGGUGAGUAGUGCAUCGGAACGUGCCCAGUCGUGGGGGAUAACGCAUCGAAAGCUGUGCUAAUACCGCAUACGAUCUAUGGAUGAAAGCGGGGGACCGUAAGGCCUCGCGCGAUUGGAGCGGCCGAUGUCAGAUGAGGUAGUUGGUGGGGUAAAGGCUCACCAAGCCAACGAUCUGUAGCUGGUCUGAGAGGACGACCAGCCACACUGGGACUGAGACACGGCCCAGACUCCUACGGGAGGCAGCAGUGGGGAAUUUUGGACAAUGGGCGAAAGCCUGAUCCAGCAAUGCCGCGUGCAGGAAGAAGGCCUUCGGGUUGUAAACUGCUUUUGUACGGAGCGAAAAGGUCUCCUCUAAUACAGGGGGCUCAUGACGGUACCGUAAGAAUAAGCACCGGCUAACUACGUGCCAGCAGCCGCCGUAA
rnacentral:rRNA from 1 species